GCCCAAGUGGCGGAAUCGGCAGACGCGCCGCACUCAAAUGCGGUGUCUUCGGACGUGUGGGUUCGAGUCCCACCUUGGGCACCA
rnacentral:tRNA from 1 species